rnacentral:rRNA from 1 species
ACGAACGCUGGCGGCGCGCUUACACAUGCAAGUCGAGCGAUAACCAUGGCUUCGGCCAUGGGGAGAGCGGCGAACGGGUGAGUAACACGUGAGCGAUCUGCCCUCGACACUGGGAUAGCCCGGGGAAACCCGGAUUAAUACCGGAUAGCCUCUCGAGCCCACGGGCUCGCGAGAAAAGAUGGCUUCGGCUUUCGGUUGAGGAGGAGCUUGCGGCGGAUUAGCUUGUUGGUGAGGUAACGGCUCACCAAGGCGACGAUCCGUAGCUGGUCUGAGAGGACGAUCAGCCACACUGGGACUGAGACACGGCCCAGACUCCUACGGGAGGCAGCAGUGGGGAAUAUUGCGCAAUGGGCGGAAGCCUGACGCAGCGACGCCGCGUGGGGGAUGACGGCCUUCGGGUUGUAAACCUCUUUCAGCAGGGACGAAGUUGACGUGUACCUGCAGAAGAAGCGCCGGCUAACUACGUGCCAGCAGCCGCGGUAAUACGUAGGGUGCAAGCGUUGUCCGGAAUUAUUGGGCGUAAAGAGCUCGUAGGUGGCUGGUCGCGUCUGCCGUGAAAGCUUAGGGCUUAACCCUAGGUCUGCGGUGGAUACGGGCCGGCUAGAGGUAGGCAGGGGCAAGUGGAAUUCCUGGUGUAGCGGUGAAAUGCGCAGAUAUCAGGAGGAACACCGGUGGCGAAGGCGGCUUGCUGGGCCUUACCUGACGCUGAGGAGCGAAAGCGUGGGGAGCGAACAGGAUUAGAUACCCUGGUAGUCCACGCUGUAAACGUUGGGCGCUAGGUGUGGGGGUCUUCCACGAUCUCCGUGCCGGAGCUAACGCAUUAAGCGCCCCGCCUGGGGAGUACGGCCGCAAGGCUAAAACUCAAAGGAAUUGACGGGGGCCCGCACAAGCGGCGGAGCAUGUUGCUUAAUUCGACGCAACGCGAAGAACCUUACCAAGGUUUGACAUCACCCGGAAAGCUUCAGAGAUGGGGCCCUCUUCGGAUCGGGUGACAGGUGGUGCACGGCUGUCGUCAGCUCGUGUCGUGAGAUGUUGGGUUAAGUCCCGCAACGAGCGCAACCCUUGCUCCAUGUUGCCAGCACGCCAACUUGUUUGGUGGUGGGGACUCAUGGGGGACUGCCGGGGUCAACUCGGAGGAAGGUGGGGAUGACGUCAAGUCAUCAUGCCCCUUAUGUCUUGGGCUGCAAACAUGCUACAAUGGCCGGUACAGAGGGUUGCGAUGCCGUGAGGUGGAGCGAAUCCCUAAAAGCCGGUCUCAGUUCGGAUUGGGGUCUGCAACUCGACCCCAUGAAGUCGGAGUCGCUAGUAAUCGCAGAUCAGCAAUGCUGCGGUGAAUACGUUCCCGGGC